UUGAAGCAGAGGACAGUGGCGGACGGGUGAGUAACGCGUGAGGAACCUGCCUUUCAGAGGGGGACAACAGUUGGAAACGACUGCUAAUACCGCAUGACGCAUUUUGAUCGCAUGGCACUUAUGUCAAAGAUUUAUCGCUGAAAGAUGGCCUCGCGUCUGAUUAGCUAGUUGGUGAGGUAACGGCCCACCAAGGCGACGAUCAGUAGCCGGACUGAGAGGUUGAACGGCCACAUUGGGACUGAGAUACGGCCCAGACUCC
rnacentral:rRNA from 1 species